rnacentral:rRNA from 1 species
GACGAACGCUGGCGGCGUGCUUAACACAUGCAAGUCGAACGGACACGCCCUGGUUUCGUGGGCUGCCCGAGUGGUAACCGGGUGAGUAAUACCCUCGUAACCUGCCUUUGACAUUGGGAUUACUUCUAGUAACUGGGGCUAACACCGGAUAGGAGCCCCUGCUGCAUGGUGGGGGCUGGCAAGUUUCGGCGGUUGGGGAUGGACACGCGUCUUAUCAGCUUGCUGGUGGGGUAGUGUCUUACCAAGGCUUUGGCGGGACGCCGGCCUGAGAGGGUGGCCGGCCACAUUGGGACUGAGAUGCGACCCAGACUCCUACGGGAGGCAGCAGUGGAGAAGAUAACACUAUAGGCGGAGGCCUGGUGCAACAACGCCGCGUGCGGUAUGACAUCCUGCGGGUUGUGAUCCACUGUCGCCUUUGACGAAGCGUGAAUGACGGUAAUGGGUAAAGAAGCACCGGCUAACUACGUG